GGAGUAAAAGUCGUAACAAGGUUUCCGUAGGUGAACCUGCGGAAGGAUCAUUAUUGUAUAACCGAGGUGCGAGGGCUGUCGCUGACCCGAAAGGUCGUGCACGCCCGAGUGCCCUCACACGCAUCCAUCUCACCCCUAUGUGCACCACCGCGUGGGUCCCCCUUUGGCUUGUUCGGAGGGGGGCUUACGUUUUCACACAAACUUUGUAUGCAGUGUAGAAUGUAUUUUUUGUUUUUGCGAUCACGCAAUCAAUACAACUUUCAACAACGGAUCUCUUGGCUCUC
rnacentral:misc_RNA from 1 species